UUAUAGAAGAGUUUGAUCCUGGCUCAGAUUGAACGCUGGCGGCACGCCUAACACAUGCAAGUCGAACGGCAGCACGGAGAGUAGCAAUACUUUUGGGUGGCGAGUGGCGGACGGGUGAGUAACGCGUAGGAAUCUACCCUAGAGAUGAGGAUAACUUGGGGAAACUCAAGCUAAUACUGAAUACGCCCUUAGGGGUAAAGGUUGCGCAAGCAGCCGCUUUAGGAUGAGCCUGCGUUAGAUUAGCUAGUUGGUGGGGUAAAGGCCUACCAAGGCGACGAUCUAUAGCUGUUCUGAGAGGAAGAUCAGCCACACUGGGACUGAGACACGGCCCAGACUCCUAC
rnacentral:rRNA from 1 species